rnacentral:lncRNA from 1 species
CGCUCUCCGGUUUGGAAACGGGUUUUUGAGUUUUGUGUUUGGGAGAGCGCAUGGUGUGAAUCUCAGGGGAAGGCAAAUUGACUUACAGCGCUAAGCCUCCGCCGGACGAUUAUCGACAAGCAGGGACUAAGCUUCGUUGGUUGCUAGGUUUGAUCGUUGCUCACUUGGAAACCAUUCUCACUUCACAGUCCUGCUGUCUCAAACUAGGGCUACGGAAAUCUUUGGAAUCAAAAACAGAAAAAGGUCUUCAAUUUCUUCUAGGAAUAUUUU